UGACAUAAGUAACGAUAAAGCGGGUGAAAAGCCCGCUCGCCGGAAGACCAAGGGUUCCUGUCCAACGUUAAUCGGGGCAGGGUGAGUCGACCCCUAAGGCGAGGCCGAAAGGCGUAGUCGAUGGGAAACGGGUUAAUAUUCCCGUACUUGGUGUUACUGCGAAGGGGGGACGGAGAAGGCUAUGUUGGCCGGGCGACGGUUGUCCCGGUUUAAGCGUGUAGGUGUGUGUUCCAGGUAAAUCCGGUUCACUUUAACACUGAGGCGUGAUGACGAGGCACUACGGUGCUGAAGCAACAAAUGCCCUGCUUCCAGGAAAAGCCUCUAAGCAUCAGGUAACAUCAAAUCGUACCCCAAACCGACACAGGUGGUCAGGUAGAGAAUACCAAGGCGCUUGAGAGAACUCGGGUGAAGGAACUAGGCAAAAUGGUGCCGUAACUUCGGGAGAAGGCACGCUGACAC
rnacentral:rRNA from 1 species